GACGAACGCUGGCGGCGUGCUUAACACAUGCAAGUCGAGCGGUAAGGCCCUUUCGGGGGUACGACGAGCGGCGAACGGGUGAGUAACACGUGGGUGACCUGCCCUUAGCUCUGGGAUAAGCCUGGGAGGACUGGGUCUAAUACCGGAUAUGACUCCAUGACGCAUGUUGUGGGGUGGAAAGCCUUGUGCGGCUAGGGAUGGGCCCGCGGCCUAUCAGCUUGUUGGUGGGGUGAUGGCCUACCAAGGCGACGACGGGUAGCCGGCCUGAGAGGGCGACCGGCCACACUGGGACUGAGACACGGCCCAGACUCCUACGGGAGGCAGCAGUGGGGAAUCUUGCGCAAUGGGCGAAAGCCUGACGCAGCGACGCCGCGUGGGGAGUGACGGCCU
rnacentral:rRNA from 1 species